UGAUAGAGGGUGGGAAGCACCCAGGUCGU
rnacentral:piRNA from 1 species